CCUACGGGUGGCAGCAGUAAGGAAUAUUGCGCAAUGGGCGAAAGCCUGACGCAGCAACGCCGCGUGCGGGAUGAAGGCCCUCGGGUUGUAAACCGCUUUCAGUAGGGAAGAAAAUGACGGUACCUACAGAAGAAGCCCCGGCCAACUACGUGCCAGCAGCCGCGGUAACACGUAGGGGGCGAGCGUUGUCCGGAUUUAUUGGGCGUAAAGAGCUCGUAGGCGGUUUCGUAAGUCGGAUGUGAAAACUCCAGGCUCAGCUUGGAGACGCCAUUCGAUACUGCGAUGACUUGAGUCCGGUAGGGGAGUGUGGAAUUCCUGGUGUAGCGGUGAAAUGCGCAGAUAUCAGGAGGAACACCGGCGGCGAAGGCGGCACUCUGGGCCGGUACUGACGCUGAGGAGCGAAAGCGUGGGUAGCAAACAGGAUUAGAUACCCCGGUAGUC
rnacentral:rRNA from 1 species